CCUACGGGAGGCUGCAGUGGGGAAUAUUGGACAAUGGGCGAAAGCCUGAUCCAGCCAUGCCGCGUGUGUGAAGAAGGCCUUCGGGUUGUAAAGCACUUUCAGUGGGGAAGAAAGCCUUGGGGCUAAUACCCUCGAGGAAGGACAUCACCCACAGAAGAAGCACCGGCUAACUCCGUGCCAGCAGCCGCGGUAAUACGGAGGGUGCGAGCGUUAAUCGGAAUUACUGGGCGUAAAGCGCGCGUAGGCGGUCUGAUAAGCCGGUUGUGAAAGCCCCGGGCUCAACCUGGGAACGGCAUCCGGAACUGUCAGGCUAGAGUGCAGGAGAGGAAGGUAGAAUUCCCGGUGUAGCGGUGAAAUGCGUAGAGAUCGGGAGGAAUACCAGUGGCGAAGGCGGCCUUCUGGACUGACACUGACGCUGAGGUGCGAAAGCGUGGGUAGCAAACAGGAUUAGAUACCCGGGCAGUC
rnacentral:rRNA from 1 species